CCGAACCCCUAUCCCCAUCGAGACCGCAUCCACCCGCCCUCAGCUUCGAUCCAUCCACCCACCCAAUCCCGAUCGAUCCAUCCACCUGCCCAAUCCCGAUCGAGGCUGCCGGUUGUUCCCAGCGACCAGAGGAGAGGAGCAGCCGGUGCGGCCGGUUCCAUCAACUGAAGACGGGGUGAGGGAUGGGAUCGAUCCCUGCGACCGGAGGAGUAGGAUCCUGGUCGAGGCAAUCCAAUCGAGCGCGUGAAGAAAGGUGGGGGCGAGGGAGAUAAUGGCCGACUCCUCCCCUACUUGAAACUGCUCUGCCCUCUUGAAGCUCGCAAUCAUGGCCCUUCUCUGGAAACUGCUCUUGCGUCCUCGCAAUCAUGGCGUAUUAUUCAUUCAUGGCUGAUAAAUUUUCAACCCUUUCUUAUGCGCGGUAGUCCUAUAUAGUGCUUCCCUCCCUCGCUUUGUAUGCACGCCCUACUCUAGCAUCUACAUCUUCUUCAGCGUUAUGCUCUGGUUAAUCGGGUCUGAAUCGGCUUGUCUGGCACGUUUUCUGUGGUCAUCUCCAUCUCAGACAGCCCACUUCUGUAACUGAGGACUGCUCAUGUCUCUGUGAAGAAGAAAACGCAGAUCCUCGAUAGGGAAUGCAUCGAUCCAUCUGAGGUACGAGGGAAAGAUGAAGAUCCAGCCGUCUAUCCAGGGGUGCCAAAUCAAGCAUACUGGCUGGUCACUCAAACCUAAUUGAGAAAUCAGUCAACUAUUCCUAGAUCAGGCAAAAAAAUCAUUGAUAAAUGUAUUUGGUGUGCUUUUAGUUUGUAUUUUAACAAGCUUGGGAAUAUGAUAGUUACGGGUCAGCUAUUAGCUUUUUACAUCUUUAUAGAUAACUAAUGAUACCUUGCAGGCUAUUCAAAUGAUUUAUAUACCAAAGUUUACACUAUCAGUUUGUUCAUCAUUACAUGUUAUUUAAUUUAGGCGAAUCAAUUCCAACUUCAACUGUUUGUUUGGGAACUAUAUGUCAGGCGGCCGCUCCCUUGAUGUCGGUCGUGCCUCGCGCUACCCAAGCAAGUGCCUUCGCCGUGCCUCCUGCUCAUGAAUCCUUGUGCCGGCCCUGCCGCAUGCGCUGAAUUCCUCCUAAUUGGGCGUGCUCUGGGCUGUGGCUAACUGCCUGUCUCCUUUUCCACCACACCGCAGAAACAGUGCCUUCUCCGUGACGGUGACAAGGCAGUGGCAACGGCCAUACAUCUGACAACCAGGCCAGCGGUGCUUCCCCCUCCACUUUCCGGACAAGCUACAACAGGCGUUGACUACUCGUCCCACGCCUAUUCCUUGGCCAGCAGCCAGCACCACCAGGUCGAUCGCUCCCUCCACCUCAAGCUCUCACUCUAAGACCCACUAGCUUACACCACUGUCUUGCAUUCUUUUUGGAAAUAUAAUAUGCUUCAUGUUAUUCUUGGGUGUUGAAUUCUAAUCAUCUACUCUUGUAGUGCAACAGAAGAGGAGUGAUAUGUAUAAUAUGUUUGGCAUCUCCUGUCCUUUUGUGGUCUGUGUAGUGCUUUGCAAUGGCAUACUGAUAUUUUUCCUAUUCUUUUUCAUGUACGUACAUGGGUAGCCAAUUAUUUCUUCUCUUUGUCUGGUGUGCAGCAUGCAAGAGAAAAAUCUCCUUUAACCAUGUUCUGCUCUGCUCAUGUUCUGAUUCUGUUCAUCGCCUGGGCAGGUGCAGAGUGAGAGGGGAGAUUAGUUUGGUACUUUGGCAUAAGUUGCUUUUCUUUCAUUUGAUUUACUAUUUUUCAUAAAUGAUGGUAAUGUUCUACACCACUUUAAUAAACUAUCAUGCAUGCUGAUGUUUAGAACAAUAACAUAUUGUGGAGAAAGUUAAAAAGGAGCAUCUCAUAUGAAAUUGAGUACUAAGUGGCAUGACUUCACGUUUCAACUUAUUGAUGGUAUUAAUUCCCAUGUUGGAGCUAACAACACAUUGUGGCUUAUGUACUGAACUUCUGGGCCAUUAUAUCUGAAGCAACUCAAUUAAAUGAUAUUUUUGGACACCAUAAACUCACCCAUUUGGAACUGCAAAUUUUGCACUGUACUCUGUACAUUUUUUUGUGGCUCAGUGGCUCGAUAAUAACUCUGAAAGCCACGAUGUCCAGUACAUAAACCAUGCUCCAUUUGCUAAAUUGUAGGGAGCACUUGCUAUAUAACUAGCCCAACUGGCUUCUAUCAUACGAUUGUCAUCGGUCUUUUCCCACUUUCUACAGCCAUCUAACAUAACACUUAUGCAACGACUCUUUUGGAUUGAAGUCCUAAAUUCCUCUGCAUCUUAGAUUGUACAUAUGGGCAUCUGCCACAACGCCUACAUUUACCAUUAACUAUUCUAACUAAAAGUAUACACACUUGCGGCCAGCUCAAACCAAGUUCAAUCCCAUGAGACAUCCUCUUCCACUACAUUACUACGAGUACUUUACAACAACUCCCUGGACAUUUAGGUUGCAUGUUUAAUUUUGUGCUGUCAUAUAGUAUUACGGAAUUACUAUCACUCUAUUGUAAAAAUGGAUGGGUGCGGCCAGGUACGUACGCCAUCAUAAUCUAGCAAAGUUCAUCUUUGUCCAAACUAAAUAUGAUAAUCUCUCUAAUGAUGUUUGGUUGAUUUUGUUUUUAAUGAUGCUUGAGCAAGCUACCAUCACUCAUAUUGACCAAACAUCUUAAUUUUCUCGUUCUCAGGUACAUGUUUCUGUAAUGAUGCUUAAAUGAUGCAAGGGAAGUAACACUCGUCUUGACUAGCCAGGCAGCUCCAUUUUCCUCAGUCUUAUUCUAAUUUUUACGCACGUGUUGUUCGCAGACACGCAUAUGUUACAUAUAUAACCAAAUGAAAUUGGCAUUUGUGAUCUCCAUAUUUUUCUUCUAAUGCAAUGAUAUGAUUUUCUUC